UACGUAGGUGGCAAGCGUUAUCCGGAAUUAUUGGGCGUAAAGCGCGCGUAGGCGGUUUUUUAAGUCCGAUGUGAAAGCCCACGGCCCAACCGUGGAGGGUCAUUGGAAACUGGAAAACUUGAGUGCAGAAGAGGAAAGUGGAAUUCCAUGUGUAGCGGUGAAAUGCGCAGAGAUAUGGAGGAACACCAGUGGCGAAGGCGACUUUCUGGUCUGUAACUGACGCUGAUGUGCGAAAGCGUGGGGAUCAAACAGGAUUAGAUAC
rnacentral:rRNA from 1 species